GAGACAGCCCCGGAAGAAACAAAGAGUCAGAUGAAAAGGAGCAGUGCGGGGGGACCCCUGACGAACGUCCCCAGUAGAGGAUCAGAGAAGAAGCCCAAAAGGGAGAGCAAGGAUGAGCUAGAGAAACGGAAGCUAUAAAAAGAAAAAGGAAAUAAUAAGAGCAAGUAAUGGAAAACAGAGGCUAGAGAAAAGUGAAGAAGCAAACGAAGGUCAGCCAUGUUAAACGGUACCACGGACUUCUGCACAUAAUCUUCACAGCUAGAAUUAGAAGAGAAAAGGGAAGAGGACUCACAACACCAUAAUGAUACCAAUUCUGACCACUUCUACACAGCAAGGAGCACAGUAAGCAUGUGAAUGAGAAACAGGCAGUAACCGGUAAAUCCUUCAGAAUUUCUCAAGAUGAACAUUUCUGUGUCUAAACAUAAGCAACUGUAGUCUCAGAAUUUGUAAUCAUAUCCAAAGUGUUUAAAUGCCUAAAAAUUAAAGCCUAUUACUCAGCCAUUUAAAAGUAGGAUAAUUAUCAGCAAAUUUAAGUUAUUUUAUAAGGUACUUGACUUGAAAGAAUCACUCAAACAAAGCCAUCUGUGUACCAAAAGCUGCUAAUAAACAGACCACAUAAUGGGAUAAGCCAGCCAACAUCAUUAAAAAUAUCCUUUAAAAUCCACAAUGAAUAACUGAGACCUUUAAUCUCAUAGUGUCAGCUGCAAAUCAGGGGUCUAACCACGUAAUUUCAAUUUAUUCAUAACAAAUCAGGCUUAUACUUAAAGAUUCUUAUAAAGAAUCUUUAUUUUGCCUAUUAAAAUAUAUAAUAAUUCUGCUAGUUGUACAGACUGAGGAGACUGCAUAAAAUCUACAGCCAAGUCACUGAUCACGGCAGUCAGUACCGCACUGACUUGCCAGCUAAGUGCAGCUCACUGUGGCUGGUGCGCCCUGGCUGCAAGCUGACGGCACACCAACCUCCUCCUGAGGAAGACACCUACACAGAUAAGUCAGUGCACGGUGGCACGCGGUCAAUGCCAUGAUGUGACCUCCAUUAUGCCAUCCUAUCAGAAGGGUUCAGAGGCUAUUAGUGCAGUCAAGGUAAGAAAUAAUGGCACAGGAAACAAAGGGAGAAAGGAACUACAUGUGGGAGGGCAUAAAAUGCACAAGAAAUGUGUGCUAGGGAUGGAAGAAGGGUUAAAAUCGAAGAGAAAGGAAGUUACAUACGUUUCCAUGUUCUCAAACGCAGGUAAUGUUAACACUUAAUAUGAAGGGUAAGGAGGAACCCAGAUUCGGGGUCUGGAGAACAUACAGGGCUUGCUCCUGCUUGCUUGUGGGAUCCCCACUUAGACAUUACUUUUAUAGAUUGUCCUUCCUUACCUGACAGCUCCUCCAUCUGUUUUUCCUGCUCUCAAGUGUGCCCUGGGCCUGUGAGAGUUUUUAUCACUCUGAACUGAGACCAUCUCUAUUCAGCCCCUUUGCUGGCCGGACUAUAAAGCCGCCAAGGGCGAGGACCAAGUGUGUCUUCUUAACCACUAUCCUCACUGUCUAUCUAGUGAGGCCCUAGCACCCAGAAGCUGUUCAUGUAUUUGCUGAGUGACUGAAUGAAUGGACCCUGCCUGCAAGAAGCUUACAAUCUAAAACAGAGAGGAAAUGAGGUGGAUUAAAAAUUUCAUGGAGAAAUUGUUCUUUAGGUUUUCAUUCCAUAUAUACAAAAAAGUAUAAAAUGGCUAAUGCCAUCCUGUCACAUGAUGUAGGGGUACUAAAAUAUUGAACUGGUUUGGGGAUCCCCUUUUGGGAUUCUGCUUUGGGGGGAAAGGUACAAAACUUAGAACAAAGACCUUGACUGUUUAAUAAUGGUAAAGAAUCUUCCCUGUUUGUUCUAAUUUGUCAUAUACAACAUUAUCUCUGUGGAAUAACAGAUGCUCAAGAAGGAUCAAAGAAAAAAAAAUGACCUACAAUAUCACACGUCCUUCUGCUCCUGAACAAGGAUAGAGACCUUAACAACACACAUUCUCUAUAACCUGCGUAUUUAUUUUACUUGUAUCAUGGCUACCAUUUAUUUCAUUCCUGGACAGAAUAAGGUAGAGAAGCCAUAUAAUCAGGAGUUCAGACCUGUGACAAAUGGUCUCAUCCCUAACCAAGUCAUUAAAAACACUACUUCUUCGGUUUCUCAA